UCCCGCUUAGCUCAGUUGGUAGAGCGCGUCACUAGUACCACAGCUUGCCCAUUCCAACGGCUGGGGAAAUGAUGACGAGGUCAGUCGUUCGAGUCGGCUAGUGGGAA
rnacentral:tRNA from 1 species